rnacentral:rRNA from 1 species
CAGUCGCCGCGGGAACACGUAGGUGGCAAGCGUCGUCCGGAAUUAUUGGGCGUAAAGGGCUCGCAGGCGGUUUCUUAAGUCUGAUGUGAAAGUCCCCGGCUCAACCGGGGAGGGUCAUUGGAAACUGGGAAACUUGGGUGCAGAAGAGGAGAGUGGAAUUCCACGUGUAGCGGUGAAAUGCGUAGAGAUGUGGAGGAACACCAGUGGCGAAGGCGACUCUCUGGUCUGUAACUGACGCUGAGGAGCGAAAGCGUGGGGAGCGAACAGGAUUAGAUACCCCCGUAGUCCCUGUCUCUUAUAC